GUACAUGUCACAUAUUAAGCUGUUUAUAACUGGGUAACACUGCCCUUUCUAGGGUGUAAUACAUUUGACAGGUGUAGCCAAGUUGUCACUGCUGAGCAAUUUGUCCCACUUUAUAGUCCACUGCACCUUCUAAUGACACAGUGGUUAAGGCAAUAAGCCGCAUAGCAUUAUAUAAACAGUGAAUAAAAAUCUGAGCACGGAUAUGUACAUGUGCUUGUAAAUGUCCUUAGGGUGAAGUUGACAAAACCCUAAUAACGUGAAUUCAGCCUACAGUUACUAUUUCAAACUGUUCAUACCAAAGUGACUUAAAUAAAGAGCACAACCGUAAACACCAUGAUCUAGGUUGUGGAGACCAGGGGCCAGCGAGGUCCGGGGUCUCUAUGGACGCCUCCAAGCCCGGAAAGUAUGUACAUCCAAGGCAGAGGGAGGAGGGAAGUCAGCACACCGGCGGACACUCAGCACCAUACCCUGACGGUGAGAAGGGCCAACAGCAAGUAUCAAGUAGGCCUACAUACAGAACAGACCAUUCAGGCCAACAUAAAGAACAUACCAUUCAGGCCUACAAACAGAACAUACCAUUCAGGCCUACAUACAGAACAGACCAUUCAGGCCUACAUACAGAACAGGUCAAUCAGGCCUAUAUACAGAACAAAC
ensembl:lncRNA